rnacentral:rRNA from 1 species
UGCAAGUCGAGGGGUAUAGUUCUUCGGAACUAGAGACCGGCGCACGGGUGCGUAACGCGUAUGCAAUCUACCUUUUGCAGAGGGAUAGCCCAGAGAAAUUUGGAUUAAUACCUCAUAGUAUAGCAGUUUCGCAUGAAACCACUAUUAAAGUCACAACGGCAAAAGAUGAGCAUGCGUCCCAUUAGCUAGUUGGUAAGGUAACGGCUUACCAAGGCUACGAUGGGUAGGGGUCCUGAGAGGGAGAUCCCCCACACUGGUACUGAGACACGGACCAGACUCCUACGGGAGGCAGCAGUGAGGAAUAUUGGACAAUGGGCGCAAGCCUGAUCCAGCCAUGCCGCGUGCAGGAUGACGGUCCUAUGGAUUGUAAACUGCUUUUGUACAGGAAGAAACACUCCCUCGUGAGGGAGCUUGACGGUACUGUAAGAAUAAGGAUCGGCUAACUCCGUGCCAGCAGCCGCGGUAAUACGGAGGAUCCAAGCGUUAUCCGGAAUCAUUGGGUUUAAAGGGUCCGUAGGCGGUUUAGUAAGUCAGUGGUGAAAGCCCAUCGCUCAACGGUGGAACGGCCAUUGAUACUGCUAGACUUGAAUUAUUAGGAAGUAACUAGAAUAUGUAGUGUAGCGGUGAAAUGCUUAGAGAUUACAUGGAAUACCAAUUGCGAAGGCAGGUUACUACUAAUGGAUUGACGCUGAUGGACGAA